rnacentral:rRNA from 2 species
UACGAGUGGUGCAAACGUUAUUCGGAAUCACUGGGCUUAAAGGGUGCGUAGGCGGCUACAAAAGUCAGGUGUGAAAUCCCUCGGCUCAACCGAGGAACUGCGCUUGAAACUUUGUGGCUCGAGGGAGACAGAGGUGAGCGGAACUGAUGGUGGAGCGGUGAAAUGCGUUGAUAUCAUCAGGAACACCGGUGGCGAAAGCGGCUCACUGGGUCUUUUCUGACGCUGAGGCACGAAAGCUAGGGGAGCAAACGGG